GAUUAACGCCGGCGGCGUGCAUAACACAUUCAAGCCGAACGGUGAGGGGGCUUCGGCCCCCGAUCAGUGGCGGACGGGUGAGUAACGCGUGAGCAACCUGCCCUUGUGUGGGGGGUAACGUCUGGAAACGGACGCUAAUACCGCAUAACCCAAUAGUACGGCAUCGUACAGUUGGCAAAGAUUUAUUGCACAAGGAUGGGCUCGCGUCUGAUUAGAUAGUUGGUGAGGUAACGGCUCACCAAGUCGACGAUCAGUAGCCGGACUGAGAGGUUGAACGGCCACAUUGGAACUGAGAUACGGUCCAG
rnacentral:rRNA from 1 species